UACGUAGGGGCCAAGCGUUGUCCGGAUUUAUUGGGCGUAAAGAGCUCGUAGGCGGUUCGGCAAGUCGGAUGUGAAAUCUCCACGCUUAACGUGGAGGAGCCAUUCGAAACUGCCGUGACUCGAGUCCGGUAGGGGAGUGUGGAAUUCCCGGUGUAGCGGUGAAAUGCGUAGAUAUGCGGAGGAACACCGAUGGCGAAGGCAAUCCCCUGGGCCUGCACUGACGCUCAUGCACGAAAGCGUGGGGAGCAAACAGG
rnacentral:rRNA from 1 species